GACGUAGGGCGCGAGCGUUUGUCCGGAUUUAUUGGGCGUAAAGAGCUCGUUAGGCGGCUUGUUGCGUCGGCUGUGAAAACCCGCGGCUUAACCGUGGGCUUGCAGCCGAUACGGGCAGGCUAGAGUUCGGUAGGGGAGACUGGAAUUCUGGUGUAGCGGUGAAAUGCGCAGAUAUCAGGAGGAACACCGGUGGCGAAGGCGGGUCUCUGGGCCGAUACUGACGCUGAGGAGCGAAAGCGUGGGGAGCGAACAGG
rnacentral:rRNA from 1 species